GUUGCUCGGAAUUACUGGGCGUAAAGCGCGUGUAGGUGGCUUGGUGUGUCAGAUGUGAAAUCCCUGGGCUCAACCCAGGAACUGCACCUGAAACUACCAGUCUUGAGUGGUGGAGAGGGAAGUGGAAUUCCUGGUGUAGAGGUGAAAUUCGUAGAUAUCAGGAGGAACACCAGUGGCGAAGGCGACUUCCUGGACACCAACUGACGCUGAGACGCGAAAGCGUGGGGAGCAAACAGG
rnacentral:rRNA from 1 species